GUUCGCAGCAGAGGCCAGAGAUUCUUGCUGGAUAUCCCUGCCUACCUGAGGCCUCCUGGAGGUGAGAAAGCUUUGUGUGUGAUUUAUGCUACUUUAAGGUAAAAGAUAAGAGAGAUUGUGUUUGGGUCUGAGCCUGGAUUGAAGGUUCGCUGGAGCGAGGCCUGAAUGUUCUGAAAGACCAUAGAGGGAUGCCAGAGCUCCAGCAGUGAGAUCUUCCUCUACAAGGGCAAGAUUUAGGUAAUACAUUUCAUGCUGCGUUGGAGGGAUGACUCUGUCCUGCUUCUCAGGUGCUACAUCAUUGUUCUGAGAGGUCUGCAGUCACUGAAGCAUCAAUAUGCUACUUUUCUUGAUGUUUAUCUACUGAACUAUGGACAGUCCUAAAAUGUUCUUCACCAAAGUGUAGUCAGACACUGGAAGGGAAUUCUCAGUGCAGUGAUUAUGGCCCUGAGCUGCUGGAGUUCUAGAAGCAUUUAAACAGUGCUCUUAGACAUAGUGGUUAUUUUGAUAGUCCUAUGGAGCCAGGAGUUGGGCUUGACUACCCUUCACACUUCCAGCUUAGGAUAUUUUAUGAUUCUAUGAUUCUGAGGCCAGUCCAGAGCAUAUGUUUUUUUGGAUAAAGGGGCCUCUGCUUUAGACUGAACUCAUCUUUUGCAGGCCUUUCCAUAAGGCCCUAUUCUUUACUGCUCAAGUUCAUUCAAGCUUCUUGUGGUAUAACAAGUAUUUUCCUUGUCCUUCCCAUGAGGCUGUGUCUGGAACACGCUGAAAUAACAUCCUGAGAAAAUGUCCCUAAAGUUAAUGUUUCCAGUGCUUUCUACUGCCUUAGAACAUCCAAAGGCCCUUCCCCAGCUGGAAACCUAAAGGCAUGGUAUUUUCUGCACGAGGAUUAAGAAGGAAAUUCCAUAUAUUGUGAGAAAUACUACUUAAUAUAUUAAAAUGAGGUGGAAUUUAGGCUUUGUGGGCUUAACAGUGAUUCAAUGCCACAGCUUCUCAGGGAUUAUACUGCUGCCCUGUAUGCACAAAGCUAUUGACUAAAAUCAACUUCAGGAGAGCAGGCAAAGCCACCUUCUGCUUCUGUGCACUUCAGGUGCUGCUGAAGGUGGCCUCUUCGGUGUACCACCAAAGGGUAAAUUCAUUUUCUGUGUCUCCUGCUAAAGUGAAGUAACCAGACAUCUCAGACUCCCUGCUUGGCCAGAAAACCUGUGAUUUUUUUAAUAGCCAUUAAAAAUAUAUUUAUUUUUUGCUGUUCUUGGCUGAUCUUCUCCUUUCAUGCUGAUUAACAAUGCUCUGAUCUUUUACUGCUGCCUUUUAGUAGCAUAGCAGCCUUCCAAGAUGGAAGAAGGCCAUGCUAUUCAUCUAACUGGUAUUUUAUGUACGCUGUAAUAAUUUUUCUUCCCUGGUUGCUGCUUCUGAUAGUUUCUUCCUCCCAUUCUAUACAUUCUAUUUUGAAUGUAGAGGUACUUAACUUUGCACAAUGUUGGAAACUUUUCCUUUGUUUUUAAUUUACAGACUUGUGUUGCUGUUUUGUCUGCUUUUUGUCUGCAAAUUGUGGACACUUAUUAGCAGUUGCAAUUUCUUGACAUAGCUAACUAUCGCUCUUUUUAUUCUAAGUGAAAUAUUUUCUGAUAUGUGUUCUCUUGAUUAGUUUGAAGCUCUUUUCUGUUAGCAAGGAACAGCAUGACUUAGGGGGUGGGUAAUGGGAUGUGAAAAUCUUUGCCACUCUCUUGUUUUAGUGUGUUUGGAAUAAGGAAGUUAAUAGAAUGUAACAGUAUGAGAAGGAUUUACGUGGGUUGUUGAGUUUAUUUAUUCUUUUAUUUAUGCAUUUGUUUGCUCUAUUUUGAUCCUCAAAAGUGAUUUUAAUAGCUGUUAGAAUGUGGCAUUGCUAAUGAAAAUGAACAGACCGCUGUUGUGUUCUACAAUAAAAACAAAUGUGUGUGGUAAUGUUAUUAGUGGAAAAACUCUGCCUUUGUAAUCAAUAUUUUACUUUCCUAUAUUCUAUUCAUAGUGAAACAACACAUUUUACGGUCAAAACAGUUGAAUGUAGCAGGCAGUCUGUUUCAAAUAAAAUCAAAUUUGUUCUUCCAAGUGGCAUACUGUCAGACCUGUCAAAGAUAUGUGUAGCAAGCACAUAUACAUGGAUCCCUUUAAUGUGCUUCUUUUUCUAAUAAAAAAAAACCCUUACAUGAACGGAAACUUUUGAAAAUAAACUAUAAUCACAAAAAUGCUUCAGCUUUUGCAGGUGAGCUAAGGAAAUUCUCCUUCAUUGUAUAAAUCACUAAAAAGAUGUCUUGGCUUGCAAACUUCUGAACCCUGCUCCGUGCAGUAUUGAAGGAUUAUGGGUAUUAUGGAAACAUUGCUGAUUAUGAUUAUUAAAUAGGAAGAUUAACAGGGGACAUGUGGUGUGUGCACACAUGAAGAUGUCCUUGUGGACAAAAAGUGGAUUUUUGUUUACCUUUAAUGACUUGAUGCCUUCAUAAAAG